UAUUUUUCACUUCUUGAAAAAAUGAAGACUUUUCAAUUUUACAACGACUUGAAAGAAUAUCUUUUACGGGAAGAAUUUAGCAACAAUUUAACGGUCAGAGAGCGAAGUGAAAUACGACGUGUGUCCGUGAAUUUUAUGAUUAAAGUCCAUCAUCCAUGCCCUGGCUGCUCUACAGCGUGUAUCGGGACAGGAGGCAGAAGACUUAUUUCUUGGUGGCCCAGAAUACAGUAUCAGUGAAGUGGAAGAAUUUAACUGAAAGAUAGGGCAGCAAUUAAAGAAGGAGGGAAUGCUGUGAUAUCUGUUGGAAUAGAAGAUGGUGCUACUGCCCAGUGCUUCCAGAAUCCUUCAUUUGAGUCUUGGGUCUGAAUCUACUGCGUCAUUGCCAAGUAUUCUGGGGUAAUGUGUCUUGUUUUGUUUACAUUUUGUUUUUCUCCAUAUUCCAAGCUCAUUUACUUGAUCUUAGCUUUAAUAAACUGGAUGGCUGUCUCCUUCACAAUUGAUUUUAAAGUACUAUACUAUUCAUUACAUAAAAAGCUCUGAACAGUUUAGUCCCUUCCUGUAUUUGGUACUGUCUCUCCCCCAACACUCCUCAGUGUAAUCUUUAAUCCACAACCACUAAUUUGCUUAUGAAAGAACUGGUGAAGCAGCUUGCACAUGUAUACCAAAAAUAUAGAAUGCCGGCUAUAAACGAAAAACCUUUCAAAAUACUUUUAAAACUCCAUUUUUAAACUUCACCUCUGCUUAAUUCCCACUUCGA